rnacentral:rRNA from 1 species
UACGUAGGGGGCAAGCGUUGUCCGGAAUCAUUGGGCGUAAAGAGCGUGUAGGCGGUCCGGUCAGUCGGUUGUGAAAGUCAAGGGCUCAACCCUUGAAUGCCGGCCGAUACUGCCGGGCUAGAGUCCGGAAGAGGUGAGUGGAAUUCCUGGUGUAGCGGUGAAAUGCGCAGAUAUCAGGAGGAACACCGGUGGCGAAGGCGGUGCUCUGGGCCAGUACUGACGCUGAGGAGCGAAAGCGUGGGGAGCAAACAGG